UAAAAGCAUCAAAAGUGCAUUCUACCUGCAACCAGUUUUUAUAAAAUCCUUCAAUGUAGACCCUCUUUUGAGUCUCUUUAGCUGGAGACCCAAACACAAGACACAGCUAAAGAAUAGUUUAUCCCUUCCUUGAGUCAAAAAAUGGGACAGUGCCUUGGUUGUAUCUGAGCAGACCAGUCUACUAUUGCAAUCAGAAAAACUUUUGGAAAGUUUGAUGAUGUGCUUGAAUCCGGUUGUCAUUGUUUGCCUUGCUGUUGAGGUAGUGCAGUAGCUGCUCAUGUCUUUCUACAACUGCAGCAAUUAGAUGUUUCACUGAUACACAGAUUUGGAAGCUUAAGAAAUUGUGCUCCAAGGGGCCGAACCAUAAUCUGCAUCAAUGUUCAAUCAAAUUGGUGGAACUUCAGAAUAAGAACAAGGCACAAAACCUGUAAUUUUCUAGCCAACAUCCAUCAAACAGUUCUCAUUAUUGUCUUUCAUCUAUUGCUUUAUUAAACGAUACAUACCAAGUUUGAUUUGAAGUUAUUGAUUCCGGUGGAGAAAUUCGUGUAGCAUGUUCAACAGAAACAUUCUGCUAUGCAAUGUUAUCCCAGUAACAUAUAACAUUAA